GACGAACGCUGGCGGCGUGCUUAACACAUGCAAGUCGAACGGAAAGGCCCUGCUUUUGUGGGGUGCUCGAGUGGCGAACGGGUGAGUAACACGCGAGUAACCUGCCCUUGACUUUGGGAUAGCUUCAGGAAACUGGGGCUAAUACCGGAUAGGAGCUCCUGCUGCAUGGUGGGGGUUGGAAAGUUUCGGCGGUUGGGGAUGGACUCGCGGCUUAUCAGCUUGUUGGUGGGGUAGUGGCUUACCAAGGCUUUGACGGGUAGCCGGCCUGAGAGGGUGACCGGCCACAUUGGGACUGAGAUACGGCCCAGACUCCUACGGGAGGCAGCAGUGGGGAAUAUUGCACAAUGGGCGGAAGCCUGAUGCAGCAACGCCGCGUGCGGGAUGACGGCCUUCGGGUUGUAAACCGCUUUCGCCUGUGACGAAGCGUGAGUGACGGUAAUGGGUAAAGAAGCACCGGCUAACUACGUG
rnacentral:rRNA from 1 species